rnacentral:rRNA from 1 species
CCUACGGGAGGCUGCAGUGGGGAAUAUUGCACAAUGGGCGCAAGCCUGAUGCAGCCAUGCCGCGUGUGUGAAGAAGGCCUUCGGGUUGUAAAGCACUUUCAGCGGGGAGGAAGGCGGUGAGGUUAAUAACCUCAUCGAUUGACGUUACCCGCAGAAGAAGCACCGGCUAACUCCGUGCCAGCAGCCGCGGUAAUACGGAGGGUGCAAGCGUUAAUCGGAAUUACUGGGCGUAAAGCGCACGCAGGCGGUCUGUCAAGUCGGAUGUGAAAUCCCCGGGCUCAACCUGGGAACUGCAUUCGAAACUGGCAGGCUAGAGUCUUGUAGAGGGGGGUAGAAUUCCAGGUGUAGCGGUGAAAUGCGUAGAGAUCUGGAGGAAUACCGGUGGCGAAGGCGGCCCCCUGGACAAAGACUGACGCUCAGGUGCGAAAGCGUGGUGAGCAAACAGGAUUAGAUACCCUUGUAGUC